rnacentral:rRNA from 1 species
UACGGGGGGGGGCAAGCGUUGUUCGGAAUUACUGGGCGUAAAGGGCGCGUAGGCGGCCUGCUAAGUCGGACGUGAAAUCCCUCGGCUCAACCGAGGAACUGCGUCCGAUACUGGUGGGCUUGAAUCCGGGAGAGGGAUGUGGAAUUCCAGGUGUAGCGGUGAAAUGCGUAGAUAUCUGGAGGAACACCGGUGGCGAAGGCGGCAUCCUGGACCGGUAUUGACGCUGAGGUGCGAAAGCGAGGG